GUCUUUGUAGUAUAAUUAUUACACUGGUCUUGUAAACCAGAAAUGGAGAUUUUUCACCUCCCUAAGAUA
rnacentral:tRNA from 1 species